ACGGGUGAGUAACGCGUGGGAACGUGCCUUCCGGUUCGGAAUAACCCUGGGAAACUAGGGCUAAUACCGGAUACGCCCUUAUGGGGAAAGGUUUACUGCCGGAAGAUCGGCCCGCGUCUGAUUAGCUAGUCGGUGGGGUAACGGCCUACCAAGGCGACGAUCAGUAGCUGGUCUGAGAGGAUGAUCAGCCACACUGGGACUGAGACACGGCCCAGACUCCUACGGGAGGCAGCAGUGGGGAAUAUUGGACAAUGGGCGCAAGCCUGAUCCAGCCAUGCCGCGUGAGUGAUGAAGGCCUUAGGGUUGUAAAGCUCUUUUAUCCGGGACGAUAAUGACGGUACCGGAGGAAUAAGCCCCGGCUAACUUCGUGCCAGCAGCCGCGGUAAUACGAAGGGGGCUAGCGUUGCUCGGAAUCACUGGGCGUAAAGGGCGCGUAGGCGGCGUUUUAAGUCGGGGGUGAAAGCCUGUGGCUCAACCACAGAAUGGCCUUCGAUACUGGGACGCUUGAGUAUGGUAGAGGUUGGUGGAACUGCGAGUGUAGAGGUGAAAUUCGUAGA
rnacentral:rRNA from 1 species